rnacentral:lncRNA from 1 species
CAGCUUCGAAUCACUUUUCUGCUCUGAUCACGUGACACCGGCAGAAUAAUCUUUCUGUGGAUCAGACGCCAUGUUCUUUUUAACCUCAAUCUUUAAUUGUUGGAUGGUUUGUUUUGAUAUUGGUUGUCAGAUUUCGGACUGCUACUAUUAUACUGUGAAAUUGAUUUGCAGUGGAAAAUUGAGGUAUAAAAUAUUUCUAUUGGUUUCUUUAUUCUUAUAAUUUUUACAAGAGAAAUUGAAAAUGGAUUUACAACAGAAAGGCGUGAAAUUUUCGAAGUUCAAAGUUUUGUACUUUCCAGACCUGCACAACGAAUUACCUAUUUGAAAAAUAGAAUAUGGUUAGAAAUUGCUGAUGUAAUAGAGGAUUCAAGUAUCAUUUACAAACAAAAUAUUGAAGAGAAUGUGCUCAAAGGAAAUGCAUAUGAAUUCUUUUUUGUUGACCAGGAUGGAACAAUUCUUUGGAACCUAUACUUAGAAUAAGUUAGUUAGGCCUAGUGAUGUACCAGCCAGAAGUAGAGGAUGACAAAGAAAAUCAACUAUGGAUAAU